rnacentral:rRNA from 1 species
UGAAUACGAGAUGCUACGGCGUCGAAGCAGUCUAUGUCAUACUUCCAAGAAAAGCUUGCACUGUCAUAAACAAAUAAUGCCUGUACCAUAACCGACACAGGUGGGUAGGUAGAGUAUACUAAGGGGCGCGAGAUAACUCUCUCUAAGGAACUCGGCAAAAUGACUCCGUAACUUCGGGAGAAGGAGUGCCUUAUUUAUAAGGUUGCAAUAACAAGAUCCAAGCAACUGUUUACCAAAAACACAGGUCUCCGCUAAGUCGUAAGACGAUGUAUGGGGGCUGACGCCUGCCCAGUGCCAGAAGGUUAAAGAAGUUGGUUAGCAUCCGCGAAGCUGAUAACUGAAGCCCUGGUGAACGGCGGCCGUAACAAUAACGGUCCUAAGGUAGCGAAAUUCCUUGUCGGGUAAGUUCCGACCCGCACGAAAGGCGUAAUGAUUUGGAUACUGUCUCGGAGAGGGGCUCGGUGAAAUAGACUUGUCUGUGAAGAUGCGGACUACCUGCACCAGGACAGAAAGACCCUAUGAAGCUUUACUGUAACCUGAAAUUGAAAUUGGACUUUACUUGCGCAGUAUAGGUGGGAGGCGUUGAGAAUAUUCUUGCGGGAUUAUUGGAGCCAUCAGUGAGAUACCACUCUUGUAAUGUUAGAUUUCUAACUUUGUAUCAUUAUCUGGUCAAAGAACAGUUUCAGGCGGGCAGUUUGACUGGGGCGGUCGCCUCCUAAACGGUAACGGAGGCGCACAAAGGUUUCCUCUGAACGGGUAGAAAUCGUAUCUAGAGUGUAAAGGCAUAAGGAAGCUUGACUGUGAGACCUACAAGUCGAGCAGGGACGAAAGUCGGUCUUAGUGAUCUGACGGUGCUGAGUGGAAAGGCCGUCACUCAACGGAUAAAAGUUACUCUAAGGAUAACAGGCUGAUCUCCCCCAAGAGUUCACAUCGACGGGGAGGUUUGGCACCUCGAUGUCGGCUCAUCGCAUCCUGGGGCGGUAGUACGUCCCAAGGGUUGGGCUGUUCGCCCAUGAAAGCGGUACGCGAGCUGGGUUCAGAACGUCGUGAGACAGUUCGGUCCAUAUCCGGUGUAGGCGUUAGAAUAUUGAGAGGAGCCUUCUUUAGUACGAGAGGACCGAGAAGGACAUACCUCUGGUGUACCAGUUAUCGUGCCAACGGUAAACGCUGGGUAGCUAUGUGUGGAGUGGAUAACCGCUGAAAGCAUCUAAGUGGGAAGCCCACCUCAAGAUAAG